UACAGAGGUCCCAAGCGUUGUUCGGAUUCAUUGGGCGUAAAGGGUGCGUAGGCGGCGCGGUAAGUCGGGUGUGAAAUCUCGGGGCUUAACUCCGAAACUGCAUUCGAUACUGCCGUGCUUGAGGACUGGAGAGGAGACUGGAAUUUACGGUGUAGCGGUGAAAUGCGUAGAUAUCGUAAGGAAGACCAGUGGCGAAGGCGGGUCUCUGGACAAUUGCUGACGCUCAGGCACGAAAGCGUGGGGAGCAAAAGGG
rnacentral:rRNA from 1 species